rnacentral:misc_RNA from 1 species
AAGUCGUAACAAGGUUUCCGUAGGUGAACCUGCGGAAGGAUCAUUAACACGUAUCCAACGUUAAACAACCCUGUGAACCUUGAACGUGCUCUCGCACACGCUCUAGCAGCAAUCCCUGGUAAAUCAUUGUUGACCAGCUAUUGAGUCAGGGACCUCUGCUUUAAAACGAUGCGAUACGAGCGCCAGAGUAAGUGCGCGCAGUAAACGAUCGCUGUAGGCCCACACGGCCGGCGACCGGGCCUCUGUGCUUCGGCACCUAACGACCCCAUGUUUCGUACCCGGUGCGCUGUAACAACCGCACCACAAACUCGAACAACUGUUAACAAUGGAUAUCUUGGUUCUC